rnacentral:rRNA from 1 species
UACGAAGGGGGCUAGCGUUGCUCGGAAUCACUGGGCGUAAAGCGCACGUAGGCGGAUUGCUAAGUCAGGGGUGAAAUCCUGGAGCUCAACUCCAGAACUGCCUUUGAUACUGGCGAUCUUGAGUCCGGGAGAGGUGAGUGGAACUGCGAGUUUAGAGGUGAAAUUCGUAGAUAUUCGCAAGAACACCAGUGGCGAAGGCGGCUCACUGGCCCGGUACUGACGCUGAGGUGCGAAAGCGUGGGGAGCAAACAGG